ensembl:lncRNA
GUGGAUUGUAUACAUUUGAAUUAUGUUGCAGCUGCGCCAAAAUCUUAUCCUGAAGAGAGUACAAUUGGACAGAGAGCGGCCUGUCAUAAUGGGUCUCUAGACACCAAGGAAGAUAGACCAAGGAAGACCAAUUCCCCUCCUGCAAGGCCUGGUGGACGGGAGCAAACCAGACUUCUACGGGCCUCCAGAGGAUCAGUGGUUAUUGGUGGCAGCUUCUCAUCUGGUGGUGACAUUUCUGGUGUGGUUGGCAGAGGAGUGUUUGGCUCCAGCGUUGGGUCCAUUAAGCCAGAUGUUCCUGUGUCAGUGCAGCAGGAAGAACCUAUUGGCUGGUCGGCCUGUGAUCCUCCAGAAGGGUUGUAUGGACAUGCUUUGAUAGGGAACCAUCUAGACUUAGAUCACAUCCACAACACAGUACAGGUGCGUGAUAUAAUUUCAAAGUCCUUACAUUAGGGCUGUGCGAGAAGGUAUUUUUUGGUACCUUGGUGACAAUAAAGACAGCAUAAAAAGUUUGUUUUCUUCUAUGAUAAUGAUCUCAGACCUGUGCUGUUCCUGCCCCUAAUUUGGAGUUGUUGUGAAUGUCAUUAAAUUUGGUAAGAUCACUUCUGUCCAGCACAGAUCUCCUUUCUAGCGAAUCAGUUGCACCUACUGGUAUAUUGGACCUUCUACAAGCUGCAGUUCAAAACCAUACAAUUAAUGUGAUGGGUUCAGAGAUUUUGUUAUUUUAACCAAAGGCCAUGACCAGCUUCAGUCUUACAGAAGGAGCUCUUAGUCAAUACUUAUUUAGUUAGAUUUAUUUGCUUAUUUUCCAUUAUUUUUUCUGAACAUGU